GGCAGCGUGGGGAUUCAGGACUGGAAUGGGGGCUGCUUCAGAUCAGCUGCUGUCUUGGCUGAGUAGGAGUGAGGCUGGAGCUUUGCACUGCGGCUCCCUCCAUGCUAUGCCUGGCUCAGGUAUCAGCUAUUUUCCAAAGAUAAAUAUGACAGGGAACGGCAUUUGGUCAAGACGUUCACAGAGUCACAACAAUUAGAGAUGAGGAAGAGCUGCCAGGUCAGAGAGGCCAAAGUGUUCAAACUUCAGUGGCUAGGCCAGCAGAAGAGUUUCAGGAAACCCACAAAUUACUACUCACUGGCAUUAGGAACUCAAAUCUGCUAAAUUUCAGACUGAAACAAAUUGGAUGGUGAAAUAUCCUGCAGACUAGAAUAGCUGAGAAGUAAGAGAGCACGCCGUGUGAUCCUCUAACCAUAUAGUGCAUAUAAGUUAGUGGAGAUUUCACUGGAAGAAGAAGAAAAAGGCGGACUCAGAUGGAAGCAGAUCUUGCCGCUUGCCUAUUCAAAAUUAUAAAGGCAGGAAGUGAUUGAUGCUUCUGUGUAACUAACAAUGGGCCAGACACCCACAGCUCUCAUUGAAGUUUCAUGUACUCAUCGCUUCUCAGGAUCUGGCCCACAGCUAGCUUCAGAGGAGCAACUCUUCAAGCAUUGCUCACAUCCAGGAGAGAGGGUUGUGGCUGCAUAACCCCUGCAUCCCCAGGACUUUGUCUCCCACAGAAGCACUGAUGCUGCACUACUAAUCAAGUGCUGUCCUUCCAAUGAGAUGGUAAACCAAGGUCCCUUCCGUCCUUGUCCAGCAAGGGUUGUCCUUGUGGUAGCUAAAGAUCUCAGCAGUAUAUUUCCCCCUGCCCAGGCCAACAUCCCCUCUCUGAGUAAAACAGAUUUGAAUGCCCAUGACUGUCGCGACUGCUGAAUGCAGAGUAGCUGCUCUGUCUGCCUAGGCAGAUGAUACAGUGGAAGCAAUAUACACAGAGCUCAUUAUUGCACAGGGAUUCAGGAAACUUAGAAUAUGAAAUGAGCUACAUUAAA